rnacentral:rRNA from 1 species
UACGUAGGUGGCAAGCGUUGUUCGGAAUUACUGGGCGUAAAGCGCGUGUAGGCUGCUUCGCAAGUCGGGUGUGAAAGCCCUGGGCUCAACCUAGGAAGUGCACUCGAAACUGCGAAGCUGGAGUCCUGGAGAGGAAGGCGGAAUUCUCGGUGUAGAGGUGAAAUUCGUAGAUAUCGAGAGGAACACCGGUGGCGAAGGCGGCCUUCUGGACAGUGACUGACGCUGAGACGCGAAAGCGUGGGGAGCAAACAGG